AUGCUUGCUUCGGCAGCACAUAUAGUGAAAUUAGAACAAUGCAGAGAUUAACAUAACCCCUGCCUAGGAACAACAUGCAAAUUCAUGAAUUAUUCCAUAUUUAC